GAUGAACGCUGGCGGCGUGCUUAACACAUGCAAGUCGAACGAAGCACUCUAUUUGAUUUUCUUCGAAAAUGAAGAUUUUGUGACUGAGUGGCGGACGGGUGAGUAACGCGUGGGUAACCUGCCUCAUACAGGGGGAUAACAGUUGGAAACGACUGCUAAUACCGCAUAAGCGCACAGGAUUGCAUGAUCCAGUGUGAAAAACUCCGGUGGUAUGAGAUGGACCCGCGUCUGAUUAGCCAGUUGGCAGGGUAACGGCCUACCAAAGCGACGAUCAGUAGCCGACCUGAGAGGGUGACCGGCCACAUUGGGACUGAGACACGGCCCAAACUCCUACGGGAGGCAGCAGUGGGGAAUAUUGCACAAUGGGGGAAACCCUGAUGCAGCGACGCCGCGUGAGCGAAGAAGUAUUUCGGUAUGUAAAGCUCUAUCAGCAGGGAAGAA
rnacentral:rRNA from 1 species